rnacentral:rRNA from 1 species
UACGAAGGGGGCUAGCGUUGCUCGGAAUUACUGGGCGUAAAGGGCGCGUAGGCGGGUCGUUAAGUUGGGGGUGAAAGCCCAGGGCUCAACCCUGGAAUUGCCUUCAAUACUGGCGACCUUGAGUAUGGCAGAGGUGUGUGGAACUCCCGAGUGUAGAGGUGAAAUUCCGUAGAUAUUCGGAAGAACACCAGUGGCGAAGGCGACACACUGGGCCAUUACUGACGCUGAGGCGCCGAAAGCGUGGGGAGCAAACAGG